UGGGGAAUAUUGCACAAUGGACGGAAGUCUGAUGCAGCAACGCCGCGUGCGGGAUGACGGCCUUCGGGUUGUAAACCGCUUUUUCUCAUGACGAAGUUUUUUGACGGUAGUGGGGGAAGAAGCACCGGCUAACUGCGUGCCAGCAGCCGCGGUGAUACGUAGGGUGCGAGCGUUGUCCGGAAUUAUUGGGCGUAAAGAGCUUGUAGGCGGUUUGUCGCGUCGAUAGUGCAAACUCAGUGCUUAACGCUGAGCCUGCUGUUGAUACGGGCAGACUAGAGGAAGGUAGGGGAGAAUGGAAUUCCCGGUGGAGCGGUGGAAUGCGCAGAUAUCGGGAGGAACACCGGUGGCGAAGGCGGUUCUCUGGGCCUUUCCUGACGCUGAGAAGCGAAAGCGUGGGGAGCGAACAGG
rnacentral:rRNA from 1 species